AAAUUAUAUAAUAAUAAUAAUAAUAAUAAUAAAGGCUAACAAUAAUGUAUAUGAAAUAAAAAUGUGCCCUAUUAGGCCUGUUUUGCCACUUCUGUGUCAGUUUGUUGGUACGUCAAUAUUUCAGAAAAUAGAAAUUAUAUGCUCAUUUUCAUUUUUUGCGGUCUGAAGAGAUAUCGCGAGAUUACACGAGACUAUAAAAUAUCAAACACCAGAGCCUGAAGCGGAUCUGAGUUGCCAUGGAAACGGGGAAACGUCAGGCAGCAAGACCCCGUCUCGCUGUUGUUUUCACUGAUUUUAGGGUCGACAGAAAACCCCCUCUACAACAAAGGAGAAGCUGACAGAGGAGGAGGAAACACAGUUAAGAAGUCUUUCACAUCCAAAUGUAAGUGACACUACAUGUACAAUACUGAAUUCUAAAUCUAAAAAUAUACAUUUUGUUAUCUUAAGUAAUAUAUAUAUAUUUUUUAAUAUGUAUAUUAUUCUUUCCACCUCUGCUCUAGCUUGGUUCCUUGUAAUAAACCUGGCAUUUUAUACAAAAUAUUGUUGGCUCUGAGACAAAUUGCAUGUUGUGUUCCUAGAUCCUUCCAUGCGGAUGGCCUCCUGCAACCCAGCAGAGCUGAGUGACCUCCUGUCAAAGGCCAUGAACCACAUGACUAUAGUAAGCAAAACCUCAAUCAUUCAGUACACUACUGUUGAAAAGUUGUGGCUCUGUAAGAUUUUUACAUGUUUUUGAAAGAAGUCUCACAUUUUAAAAUCAUUAACCCCGGGUUGUUUCAGUGAGAUUGUCCUUGAAAGGCCUGUAGGCUAAAUAAUCAGCUAAAUGAGGUAACAUAGGUGACAAGUAUAAAGUUAUAAUGCUUGUAGUUAUAAUCAUUUAUUUAACUAUUUUAAUAACAGGAUAUCAUGGUCAUUAAUCUAUUUUAUUGUAUUUCUCUAUGUCUGUUUGUUUAUGUUUGCCAGUGAACAGACGCCAUACUGUUCCACUCAAAGACCUCCGAAGAACAGGCGAAUCUCCGCCCCCAAUAUUUGCAUAUGCCAGCUCAUAUUCAAGCCAUUAGAAAGGGCAGAACGUCUGGAUGUGCACAGCAGAAUCAACAGACUAGAUGAGAUGUAAUCUCUAGUUUUUGGUGCUGAGAUUCUUCACGACAAGGCCUUGAUGCCAUUCACACUCACUACAUGAAGAUGAUUCACCAAACCUCUGGCUGAUCACUGGCAAUUUGCAGUAAUGACAGUGGACAAGUGAAGAGAGAGGAGGGGAUGGCAUCAGAAAGGACCUUGAGCUGCUGCGACUGUCUUGGAUCACCCAAAGCACAACUACACUAUGUGUCCAAGAUCCUGGCCUGUGUCCAUCCUCAAACUGUUCCAUGAACCUCCACUGCACAAAAGGCAGUUCCAGGUCAGAAAUAUUAGUACCCUCACUCUUCGCCAUCCUUCGCCAGUCAUCACAUUCACAACCACCACAGUCAACGCAAGUCAAGGUCCCUGGUCCACAGCAUCAACCAUCUUUGUAGGAAAAUGAUUACUGCAUUUCUUGAUGUAUCUUUAAAAUUGACAGAUUUCUUAUGGAGUGCAAUCCCUCUCUACAUGGACUGAGAGCCCAUCGUUCUUACAAAAUACUGUCAGACACUGCAUAUGAUGUUCUCAAAAUAAUAAAUUAAUUAAUAAAAUACUUUGUGCUUGUAAAAAGUGUUUUUUUUUUUUUUUUUUUUUUUAUCUAGUUGAAGGUAUAGUACACGUGAAUGUUCUGCGUCAUUUUGAGCUAGAAAAGCCUUGAUUUAAGGUUUGUGCUGUAAUUGUAGAAAAAAAAACUUGCACUUGCAUAUUGUAUGCUACAGGUUUUUAAUAUUACCUCUAAACAUUGCAAAGUUGAGAUGUUUUGUUUUAUAAAGUGUUUUUAAUAUUUUUUUAGUGGAUGUACAGUAAUUAUGUAGUAUUGUCAUGUUCGUACAAACGCAAACUAGAUUGAAAUU